rnacentral:rRNA from 1 species
AGUGAACGCUGGCGGUAGGCCUAACACAUGCAAGUCGAACGGCAGCACAGUAAGAGCUUGCUCUUACGGGUGGCGAGUGGCGGACGGGUGAGGAAUACAUCGGAAUCUACUUUUUCGUGGGGGAUAACGUAGGGAAACUUACGCUAAUACCGCAUACGACCUACGGGUGAAAGCAGGGGAUCUUCGGACCUUGCGCGAUUGAAUGAGCCGAUGUCGGAUUAGCUAGUUGGCGGGGUCAAGGCCCACCAAGGCGACGAUCCGUAGCUGGUCUGAGAGGAUGAUCAGCCCCACUGGAACUUAGACACGGUCCAGACUCCUACGGGAGGCAGCAGUGGGGAAUAUUGGGCAAUGGGCGCAAGCCUGAUCCAGCCAUACCGCGUGGGUGAAGAAGGCCUUCGGGUUGUAAAGCCCUUUUGUUGGGAAAGAAAAGCAGCAGGUUAAUACCCCGCUGUUCUGACGGUACCCAAAGAAUAAGCACCGGCUAACUUCGUG